rnacentral:rRNA from 1 species
UGGGGAAUUUUGGACAAUGGGCACAAGCCUGAUCCAGCCAUUCCGCGUGCAGGACGAAGGCCUUCGGGUUGUAAACUGCUUUUGUACGGAACGAAAAGGCUCUGGCUAAUACCUGGGGCUCAUGACGGUACCGUAAGAAUAAGCACCGGCUAACUACGUGCCAGCAGCCGCGGUAAUACGUAGGGUGCAAGCGUUAAUCGGAAUUACUGGGCGUAAAGCGUGCGCAGGCGGUUAUGUAAGACAGAGGUGAAAUCCCCGGGCUCAACCUGGGAACUGCCUUUGUGACUGCAUAGCUGGAGUACGGCAGAGGGGGAUGGAAUUCCGCGUGUAGCAGUGAAAUGCGUAGAUAUGCGGAGGAACACCGAUGGCGAAGGCAAUCCCCUGGGCCUGUACUGACGCUCAUGCACGAAAGCGUGGGGAGCAAACA